GUGCCUAAUACAUGCAAGUCGAGCGAACGGACGAAAGCUUGCUUCUCUGAUGUUACGGCGGACGGGUGAGUAACACGUGGAUAACCUACCUAUAAGACUGGGAUAACUUCGGGAAACCGGAGCUAAUACCGGAUAAUAUUUUGAACCGCAUGGUUCAAAAGUGAAAGACGGUCUUGCUGUCACUUAUAGAUGGAUCCGCGCUGCAUUAGCUAGUUGGUAAGGUAACGGCUUACCAAGGCAACGAUGCAUAGCCGACCUGAGAGGGUGAUCGGCCACACUGGAACUGAGACACGGUCCAGACUCCUACGGGAGGCAGCAGUAGGGAAUCUUCCGCAAUGGGCGAAAGCCUGACGGAGCAACGCCGCGCGAGUGAUGAAGGUCUUCGGAUCGUAAAACUCUGUUAUUAGGGAAGAACAUAUGUGUAAGUAACUGUGCACAUCUUGACGGUACCUAAUCAGAAAGCCACGGCUAACUACGUGCCAGCAGCCGCGGUAAUACGUAGGUGGCAAGCGUUAUCCGGAAUUAUUGGGCGUAAAGCGCGCGUAGGCGGUUUUUUAAGUCUGAUGUGAAGGCCCACGGCUCAACCGUGGAGGGUCAUUGGAAACUGGAAAACUUGAGUGCCGAAGAGAAAGUGGAAUCCAUGUUAGCGGUGAAAU
rnacentral:rRNA from 1 species